UACGAAGGGGGCUAGCGUUGCUCGGAAUCACUGGGCGUAAAGGGCGCGUAGGCGGCUGAUUUAGUCGAGGGUGAAAGCCCGUGGCUCAACCACGGAAUGGCCUUCGAUACUGGUUGGCUUGAGACCGGAAGAGGACAGCGGAACUGCGAGUGUAGAGGUGAAAUUCGUAGAUAUUCGCAAGAACACCAGUGGCGAAGGCGGCUGUCUGGUCCGGUUCUGACGCUGAGGCGCGAAAAGCGUGGGGGAGCAAACAGG
rnacentral:rRNA from 1 species